rnacentral:rRNA from 1 species
ACUAAAUAGAUACCCGGGUAGUCCACGCCCUAAACGAUGUCUACUAGUUGUUGGUGGAGUAAAAUCCAUGAGUAAACGCAGCUAAACGCGUGAAGUAGACCGCCUGGGGAGUACGGUCGCAAGAUUAAAACUCAAAGGAAUUGACGGGGCCCGCACAAGCGGUGGAUUAUGUGGAUUAAUUCGAUGCAACGCGAAAAACCUUACCUGGCCUUGACAUGCCACUAACGAAGCAGAGAUGCAUUAGGUGCCCGUAAGGGAAAGUGGACACAGGUGCUGCAUGGCUGUCGUCAGCUCGUGUCGUGAGAUGUUGGGUUAAGUCCCGCAACGAGCGCAACCCUUGCCAUUAAUUGCCAUCAUUUAGUUGGGCACUUUAAUGGGACUGCCGGUGACAAACCGGAGGAAGGUGGGGAUGACGUCAAGUCCUCAUGGCCCUUAUGGCCAGGGCCUCACACGUAAUACAAUGGUCGGUACAGAGAGUUGCCAACCCGCGAGGGGAGCUAAUCUCAGAAAGCCGAUCGUAGUCCGGAUUGUUCU